rnacentral:lncRNA from 1 species
AGGGGCUCCGGCCUGGAUGCUGCCCGCUGCCCACAUGAAGGCUCGGUGCCGAGCGCUCCCGCAGGCAGGCACCCUCUGCGUGCCCAGCGCCGCGCGGGGACAUCGAGCGCCGCUGCUGGGACACGGCUCAGGGGGAGCCCCUGGGUGCCUGCGGCCCGGGGGGGUCUGAAAUGUCCAGAAAGGAGCCAUCUCCACUGGGGCAGGGGGAUCGCAGCGCUGGGCAGCUGGGGUGGCCUUGCUCAGCCAUGGGGAUGGGUUUAGGAUGAGGCUGCGGCGCGGCGAGGGGCGCAUCCAGCCCCAGCAGUGCCCAGAGCCGGGCGAGUGGAGCCGUGGUGUGUGGGGGCUGCAGAGCCCCAGCAGAAGUGGUGAGGGAGGGCAGCAGAGGUGCAAGGAGCCCACACAGAGGGGCUGGAGCUGGGGCUGUGUGGGGGCCGGGUGGUCAGGGCUGGCUCCUCACAGAGCUCCUGGCGCUGGCUGGCCCCAGCCCAGGCGCCCCUGGCUGCGUUUGCCCAAGUCAGGGACCACAGCUCAAACCCGGCUGGAAACACACGGUGCCCGAUGCAGGGAGGUCCCUGCAGGUCCCUGGGGGCAGCAGCCCCGCUCCCUGCCUGCCUGCCCCCUCGGGAGCCAUUUCCCCAGGGCGUUUUGGCAGGGGGCUGUGCAGCUGUGGCGCCGGCUCUGCACCCGCACCGUGCUGAGCCCAGCCUGGCACCGGCACGGGGCCGCUGUGCGGGGUGCUAUGGGGUGCUGCGGGGUGCUGCAGGGAGCUGCAGGAAGCUGCGGGGAGCUGUGGGGAGCUGUGGUGUGCGGCACGGUGAACGCAGAACCCAGGGCUCGGUGGGCAGCUCGGUGGGCAGCUUACAGUUCUCACGUUCCCAGCCCUUUUGCACAAAAUCAAGCCUCGACUCUGAGUCCUCUCACCCCAGUUUCACCCGGUGCACAGAGCGCCCGUGUUCCCUUAGAUCCAGGCACCUGCAGCAGAGGCUGGACCUGGGCCCUGUCCCGGAGCAGCCCAGGACCAGGUCCCCACGUGCUGCAGCACCGGCACAGGCAGCGAACGGCCGCGCUGGUUUCUUUGGGACACUGCCUGUGCGGGGCCCCAGGUUGGCUCUGGGGGCGGCUGGCCCCCAAAAGCUGGCACGGGGAGCCCAGGGUUGUAGGGAG